rnacentral:rRNA from 1 species
AUUGAACGCUGGCGGCAUGCCUUACACAUGCAAGUUGAACGGUAACAGGUCUUCGGAUGCUGACGAGUGGCGAACGGGUGAGUAAUACAUCGGAACGUGCCCGAGAGUGGGGGAUAACGAGGCGAAAGCUUUGCUAAUACCGCAUACGAUCUCAGGAUGAAAGCGGGGGACCGUAAGGCCUCGCGCGAUUGGAGCGGCCGAUGUCAGAUUAGGUAGUUGGUGGGGUAAAGGCUCACCAAGCCAACGAUCUGUAGCUGGUCUGAGAGGACGACCAGCCACACUGGGACUGAGACACGGCCCAGACUCCUACGGGAGGCAGCAGUGGGGAAUUUUGGACAAUGGGCGCAAGCCUGAUCCAGCAAUGCCGCGUGCAGGAAGAAGGCCUUCGGGUUGUAAACUGCUUUUGUACGGAACGAAAAGGCUCUGGUUAAUACCUGGGGCUCAUGACGGUACCGUAAGAAUAAGCACCGGCUAACUACGUGCCAGCAGCCGCAGUAACAC